GUGGGUGUAGCUCAGUGGAAGAGCGGCGGUCCUACAAACCGCAUGUCGGGGGUUCAAGUCCCUCCACCCGUA
rnacentral:tRNA from 1 species